UCGGGCGUGCCCCCCAUCUAAGUUCCCUGGAACGGGACGUCGGAGAGGGUGAGAAUCCCGUAUGUGACGGGGUGGCGCCGCCCGUGUGAAGCUCUUUCGACGAGUCGAGUUGUUUGGGAAUGCAGCUCAAAACGGGUGGUAAAUUUCAUCUAAAGCUAAAUACGGGCCAGAGACCGAUAGCGCACAAGUAGAGUGAUCGAAAGAUGAAAAGCACUUUGGAAAGAGAGUUAAACAGUACGUGAAAUUGUUGAAAGGGAAGCGCUGGCGACCAGACGUGCGCGCCGGUGAUCAUCUGGGGCUCGCCCCCGGUGCACUCGGCGGCGCGCAGGCCCGCAUCGGUUUGGGGGGCGGGACAAAGGCCCCUGGAAUGUGGCUCCCCCGGGAGUGUUAUAGCCAGGGGUAUCAUGCCGCCCCCCCGGACCGAGGACCGCGCUCCGGCUAGGAUGCGGGCGUAAUGGUCGUUAGCGACCCGUCUUGAAACACGGACCAAGGAGUCUAACAUCUAUGCGAGUGUUUGGGUGGCAAACCCACACGCGGAAUGAAAGUGAACGGAGGUGAGAGCCCGUACGGGCGCAUCAUCGACCGGUCCUGAUGUCUUCGGAUGGAUCUGAGUAAGAGCAUAGCUGUUGGGACCCGAAAGAUGGUGAACUAUGCCUGAAUAGGGUGAAGCCAGAGGAAACUCUGGUGGAGGCUCGCAGCGGUUCUGACGUGCAAAUCGAUCGUCAAAUUUGGGUAUAGGGGCGAAAGACUAAUCGAACCAUCU
rnacentral:rRNA from 1 species